UAGCGCUUCCUUUACACUGAAGAGUUCCCCGCGCAAAUCAGGCUGUUCUGA
rnacentral:tRNA from 1 species